UACGUAGGCAGCAAGCGUUGUUCGGAGUUACUGGGCGUAAAGGGUGCGUAGGUGGCUCUAUAAGUAUGGUGUGAAAUCUCCCGGCUUAACUGGGAGGGUGCGCCGUAGACUGUGGGGCUAGAGUGUGGGAGAGGAAAGUGGAAUUCCUGGUGUAGCGGUGAAAUGCGUAGAUAUCAGGAGGAACACCGGUGGUGUAAACGGCUUUCUGGACCAUAGCUGACGCUGAGACACGAAAGCGUGGGUAGCAAACAGG
rnacentral:rRNA from 1 species